rnacentral:rRNA from 1 species
UACGUAGGGGCAAGCGUUGUCCGGAAUCAUUGGCGUAAGAGCGUGUAGGCGGCCAGAUAAGUCCGCUGUGAAAUCUCGAGGCUCAACUUCGAGCUGUCGGUGGAAACUGUCUGGCUAGAGUCCGGAAGAGGAGAAUGGAAUUCCUGGUGUAGCGGUGAAAUGCGCAGAUAUCAGGAAGAACACCCGUGGCGAAGGCGGUCUCUGGACGGUACUGACGCUGAGACGCGAAAGCGUGGGGAGCGAACAGG